ensembl:lincRNA 1700010D01Rik RIKEN cDNA 1700010D01 gene
GGACCAGACCACCACAAGGCAUCAGGAUGGUGAAGCAACUGAGAAAACACCCAAUCUGUUUCAGGAUGUUGAGCCAUCAACCUCGAUUGCUGAACCAAAUAGAGUGAAACCUUGCCUCAUACCAGAUGCUGUUCCAUCAACCUUGACUGCUGAACCAAAGACAGUGAAGAUUUGCAGUUAUCAGUCCCGGUCCAAAUUUAGCAAAAAGAUAAGAAGGCCCAAGGUACCUACCAAGACGAGCAAGAAAACCCUGCGAAUAGUGAUGAAAAGAAAGACAUCUGUAAACAAUACACCACCGAAAAAGGUGUUUCAAUGUGUGAUUGAGAAUUUGGGUAGACUCAACAUACCACCUAAAAAAUAUGUGGCAUCUGAGCAAUGGCCAACUGUGUAGAGACUAAAUAUAUAGUUACUACACAGUGCUUUGACUCUGAAAAUAAAAUCAAUCUGAUAUGAAAA